rnacentral:rRNA from 1 species
CGGUAAUACGUAGGGUGCAAGCGUUAAUCGGAAUUACUGGGCGUAAAGCGUGCGCAGGUGGUUUUGUAAGUCUGUCGUGAAACCCCCGGGCUUAAUUUGGGAAUUGCGAUGGAGACUGCAAGGCUAGAAUCUGGCAGAGGGGGGUGGAAUUCCACGUGUAGCAGUGAAAUGCGUAGAGAUGUGGAGGAACACCGAUGGCGAAGGCAGCCCCCUGGGUCAAGAUUGACGCUCAUGCACGAAAGCGUGGGGAGCAAACAAAAUUAGAUACCCUGGUAGUCCACGCCCUAAACGAUGUCUACUAGUUGUCGGGUUUUAAUUGACUUGGUAACGCAGCUAACGCGUAAAAUAAACCGCCUGGGGAGUACGGUCGCAAGAUUAAA